rnacentral:rRNA from 1 species
AUGAAGAGGGCAUGUGUUUGUAUUAGAUCAGAAGGUUUUGCAGUUGACAAGCUUACAGGUUUGAGCACCCCGAACAACGGGGUGGGCCCUUUGACCUGUGGGUUUUGCUGGUACCAAGAGAAGGAGGUUCCUUUUAACCUGCAGGAGCUCUGCCAAUGGCAGCGUGCUUUCCUUGACAAUGACGUGGUACUGCACGUACGCAAGAUGCAGCGAGUGAAAUCGGCGCAAGAGGGCAUCUUGCAAGCAGCACCAAAUCCUAUAUUAUGGGACCGAGUCAAAUGUGGCUCGGUGAUAGAAUUAAGCAUGAAGGAGGAAGAUACCAGCACCAGCCCCAGCAAUAAAGACUGCGGCAACGGCGACGGUAGUGUGUCCCGGCGAGCGUGA